rnacentral:tRNA from 1 species
GGGCCUAUAGUUCAGUGGCAGAACGGUACAUUCGCAUUGUACAGGCGGCGGUUCAAUUCCGCCUAGGUCCA